AGUGAACGCUGGCGGCGUGCCUAAUACAUGCAAGUCGAACGGAGAUUAAGUAGCUUGCUAUUUAAUCUUAGUGGCGCACGGGUGAGUAAUAUAUAGCUAACUUGCCCAUUACUAAGGGACAACAGUUGGAAACGACUGCUAAUACCUUAUACUCCGUAUCUAUAUAAGUAGAUACGGGAAAGUUUUUCGGUAAUGGAUAGGGCUAUAUCGUAUCAGCUAGUUGGUAAGGUAAUGGCUUACCAAGGCUAUGACGCGUAACUGGUCUGAGAGGAUGAUCAGUCACACUGGAACUGAGACACGGUCCAGACUCCUACGGGAAGCAGCAGUAGGGAAUAUUGCUCAAUGGGGGAAACCCUGAAGCAGCAACGCCGCGUGGAGGAUGACACUUUUCGGAGCGUAAACUCCUUUUCUUGGGAAAGAAUUAUGACGGUACCCAAGGAAUAAGCACCGGCUAACUCCGUG
rnacentral:rRNA from 1 species